AAUAGAUACCCCGGUAGUCCAUGCCGUAAACGUUGGGCGCUAGAUGUGGGGACCAUUCCACGGUUUCCGUGUCGCAGCUAACGCAUUAAGCGCCCCGCCUGGGGAGUACGGCCGCAAGGCUAAAACUCAAAGGAAUUGACGGGGGGCCCGCACAAGCGGCGGAGCAUGCGGAUUAAUUCGAUGCAACGCGAAGAACCUUACCAAGGCUUGACAUAUACGAGAACGCUCUAGAAAUAGAGAACUCUUUGGACACUCGUAUACAGGUGGUGCAUGGUUGUCGUCAGCUCGUGUCGUGAGAUGUUGGGUUAAGUCCCGCAACGAGCGCAACCCUCGUUCUAUGUUGCCAGCGGUUCGGCCGGGAACUCAUAGGAGACUGCCGGGGUCAACUCGGAGGAAGGUGGGGAUGACGUCAAAUCAUCAUGCCCCUUAUGUCUUGGGCUUCACGCAUGCUACAAUGGCCGGUACAAAGGGCUGCAAUACCGUAAGGUGGAGCGAAUCCCAAAAAGCCGGUCUCAGUUCGGAUUGAGGU
rnacentral:rRNA from 1 species